rnacentral:tRNA from 1 species
CCGUGGUGUAGCGGUUAACAUGCCUGCCUGUCACGCAGGAGAUCGCGGGUUCGAUUCCCGUCGG